rnacentral:rRNA from 1 species
UACGUAGGGCGCGAGCGUUGUCCGGAAUUAUUGGGCGUAAAGAGCUCGUAGGCGGCCUGUUGCGUCCGCUGUGAAAUCCCGGGGCUCAACCCUGGGCGUGCAGUGGAUACGGGCAGGCUGGAGGCAGGCAGGGAGAACGGAAUUCCGGAUGUAGCGGUGAAAGUGGCGCGAGAUAUCGGAGGAACACCGUGGCGAAGGCGGUUCUCUGGCCUGUGCUGACGCGAGGAGCGAA